GCGUAAGCGCACGCAGGCGGUCUGUCAAGUCGGAUGUGAAAUCCCCGGGCUCAACCUGGGAACUGCAUUCGAAACUGGCAGGCUAGAGUCUUGUAGAGGGGGGUAGAAUUCCAGGUGUAGCGGUGAAAUGCGUAGAGAUCUGGAGGAAUACCGGUGGCGAAGGCGGCCCCCUGGACAAAGACUGACGCUCAGGUGCGAAAGCGUGGGGAGCAAACAGGAUUAGAUACCCUGGUAGUCCACGCCGUAAACGAUGUCGACUUGGAGGUUGUGCCCUUGAGGCGUGGCUUCCGGAGCUAACGCGUUAAGUCGACCGCCUGGGGAGUACGGCCGCAAGGUUAAAACUCAAAUGAAUUGACGGGGGCCCGCACAAGCGGUGGAGCAUGUGGUUUAAUUCGAUGCAACGCGAAGAACCUUACCUACUCUUGACAUCCAGAGAACUUUCCAGAGAUGGAUUGGUGCCUUCGGGAACUCUGAGACAGGUGCUGCAUGGCUGUCGUCAGCUCGUGUUGUGAAAUGUUGGGUUAAGUCCCGCAACGAGCGCAACCCUUAUCCUUUGUUGCCAGCGGUUAGGCCGGGAACUCAAAGGAGACUGCCAGUGAUAAACUGGAGGAAGGUGGGGAUGACGUCAAGUCAUCAUGGCCCU
rnacentral:rRNA from 1 species